rnacentral:rRNA from 1 species
CCUACGGGAGGCAGCAGUGGGGGAUAUUGCACAAUGGGGGGAACCCUGAUGCAGCGACGCCGCGUGGGUGAAGGAGUACCUCGGUAUGUAAAGCCCUAUCAGCAGGGAAGAACAAUGAGGGAACCUGACAAAAAAGCACGGGCGAAAUACGUGCCAGCACCCGCGGUAAUAAGUAUGGUGCAAGCGUUAGCCGGAUUUACGGGGGGUAAGGGGGGCGAAGGCGGCAGUGCAAGGCAGAAGUGAAAGCCCAGGGCUCAACCAUGGUACUGCUUUUGAAACUGUACGGCUGGAUUGCAGGAGGGGUAGGUGGAAUUCCUGGUGUAGCGGUGAAAUGCGUAGAUAUUAGGAGGAACACCGGUGGCGAAGGCGGCUUACUGGACUGUAACUGACGCUGAGGCUCGAAAGCGUGGGGAGCAAACAGGAUUAGAUACCCGGGUAGUC